UACGAAGGGGGCUAGCGUUGCUCGGAAUCACUGGGCGUAAAGGGUGCGUAGGCGGGUUUUUAAGUCAGAGGUGAAAUCCUGGAGCUCAACUCCCAGAACUGCCUUUGAUACUGAAAGUCUUGAGUAUGGGAGAGGUGAGUGGAACUGCGAGUGUAGAGGUGAAAUUCGUAGAUAUUCGCAAGAACACCAGUGGCGAAGGCGGCUCACUGGCCCAUAACUGACGCUGAGGCACGAAAGCGUGGGGAGCAAACAGG
rnacentral:rRNA from 1 species